AUCGUUGUAUGCUAUAUGGGUUGGUUGUCCUCUUAAUCAAGGAAUGCGGUGACACUGGUAUGGCAUACAAGUGAGAUGUAAGGGUAUAUCAUCACUGAAAAGUGACUCACCUGCUGAGCGUUCUGCUGUCAAAAGCUACUCAUGAAAUACAUGGGUAUAAAUAUCCUUCAGAUCUAAGAUCAUCAUAGUGACUUGCAAGCAACUCACUGUGCUUUGGUGUCAAACUACUUGAAUUUUUAAUACA
rnacentral:lncRNA from 1 species